rnacentral:rRNA from 1 species
GACGAACGCUGGCGGCGUGCUUAACUUAUGCAAGUCGAAUGGAAUGGCCUGCUUUCCCUUGUGGCUUGCGGGUACUCGAGUGGCCACCGGGUUAGUAACACGUGAGUGAUCUGCCCCCCACUUGGGUAUAAGCCUGGGACACUGGGUCUAAUUUCCGAUAGGACUGCCGGGUGGUGCCUGUGGUCGACCACGCUUUUCUAGUGGUUGGGGAUGCGCUAGCGGCCUAUCAGCUUGUUGGUGGGGUAAUGGCCUACCAAGGCGGCGACGGGUAGCCGGCCUGAGAGGGUGGACGGCCACAUUUGGCCUGAGUUACUGCCCAGAGUCAUACGGGAGACAGCAGUGGGGAAUAUUGCACAAUGGGCGGAAGCCUGAUGCAGCGACGCCGCGUGGGGGAUGACGGCCUUCGGUUUGUAAACUCCUUUCGACCGCGAUGAAGCCACCUGGUUGGAAGGGUGGUGACGGUAGUGGUAGAAGAAGCACCGGGUAAGUACGUG